CUUGAUUUUCCUUUACAGAUCCAUACAGCUUUUGAAGAUCCAUCUCAAGUAAGAGGCUGGUCCUUAAUUUUCCCUUCCUAAUGAUCUCUGGAGUUGGUGAUGUAAAACGUCCACAUACCUUAAUUUAGAAAAUCCAUUCCCAGUUAGAAUUUUCAAUUUCCAAGUUGAUCCAUCAACAAUUGUUUCCAUUUGUGACUGUAAUCCAUUAGAGCAAGUCUUAGAUUUU